CCCUAGUGGAGGAGGACGCCGAAGGUGGGGCUAAUGACUGGGGUGAAGUCGUAACAAGGUAGCCGUACCGGAAGGUGCGGCUGGAUCACCUCCUAACAGGGAGACAACAAAAUGUUUAAUAUUAUUAUUUUGUCACCUUAGGUCGAUCGGUAUCUCACGUUUUUAAUUUAUUAAGAAUUUCAUUUCCUAAGUUUUUCUAGGUCACACCCAUUAUUUUUCCUGGGCCAUUAGCUCAGGUGGUUAGAGCGCACCCCUGAUAAGGGUGAGGUCCCUGGUUCAAGUCCAGGAUGGCCCAUAUCUCUAUGUUGGGGGUAUAGCUCAGUUGGUAGAGCGCCUGCUUUGCAAGCAGGAUGUCAGCGGUUCGAGUCCGCUUACCUCCACUGAUUACCACCUCUUCCAUAAUCUUUAGAAAGGAAAUGUUUUGAGCUGUGAUCAAAUUCUGAACGAAUCUAGCUUCCUAAUGAAAUCAUUAAGAUGCUGGACUCAUUGAAUUAAUUUCAUUGUUUUCAGAGAACCUUGACAACUGCAUAGAUUAUUUUUAAAGACAAUAAGCAUCUUUGAUGAUGCAGAUUUAUUAUUUGUGCAAAUGCAUUAAUAACAAUUCUAUUAAGCUGAUGCUUCAAUUUUGAAGUUAUUGGUCAAGCUACAAAGGGCUCACGGAGGAUACCUAGGCACAC
rnacentral:misc_RNA from 1 species